GGGGUCGUAGUCUAGUCGGUAGGACGGCUGCCUCCAGAGCAGCUAACGUGAGUUCGAAUCUCGCCGACCCCA
rnacentral:tRNA from 1 species